AGUGAACGCUGGCGGUAGGCCUAACACAUGGAAGUCGAACGGCAGCACAGUAAGAGCUUGCUCUUACGGGUGGCGAGUGGCGGACGGGGGAGGAAUACAUCGGAAUUUACUUUUUCGUGGGGGAUAACGUAGGGAAACUUACGCUAAUACCGCAUACGACCUACGGGUGAAAGCAGGGGAUCUUCGGACCUUGCGCGAUUGAAUGAGUCGAUGUCGGAUUAGCUAGUUGGCGUGGUAAAGGCCCACCAAGGCGACGAUCCGUAGCUGGUCUGAGAGGAUGAACAGCCACACUGGAACUGAGACACGGUCCAGACUCCUACGGGAGGCAGCAGUGGGGAAUAUUGGACAAUGGGCGCAAGCCUGAUCCAGCCAUACCGCGUGGGUCAAGAAGGCCUUCGGGUUGUAAAGCCCUUUUGUUGGGAAAGAAAAGCAGCAGGUUAAUACCCCGUUGUUCUGACGGUACCCAAAGAAUAAGCACCGGCUAGCUUCGUG
rnacentral:rRNA from 1 species